rnacentral:rRNA from 1 species
UACGAACUGUGCAAACGUUAUUCGGAAUCACUGGGCUUAAAGGGUGCGUAGGCGGUCUAUUAAGUCAGUGCUGAAAUAUCCCGGCUUAACCGGGAGGGUGGCAUUGAUACUGAUGGACUUGAGUGCAGUCGAGGUAGGCGGAAUUGACGGUGUAGCGGUGAAAUGCUUAGAUAUCGUCAAGAACACCGAUAGUGAAGACAGCUUACUAGACUGUAACUGACGCUGAGGCACGAAAGUGUGGGGAUCAAACAGG